rnacentral:rRNA from 1 species
CCUACGGGCGGCAGCAGUGAGGAAGAUUGGUCAAUGGACGAGAGUCUGAACCAGCCAAGUAGCGUGAAGGAUGACUGCCCUAUGGGUUGUAAACUUCUUUUAUAUGGGAAUAAAAUGUGCCACGUGUGGGAUUUUGUAUGUACCAUAUGAAUAAGGAUCGGCUAACUCCGUGCCAGCAGCCGCGGUAAUACGGAGGAUCCGAGCGUUAUCCGGAUUUAUUGGGUUGAACGGGAGCGUAGGUGGAUUGGUAAGUCAGUUGUGAAAGUUUGCGGCUCAACCGUCAAAUUGCAGUUGAAACUGGCAGUCUUUAGUACAGUAGAGGUGGGCGGAAUUCGUUGUGUAGCGGUGACCUGCUUCGCUUUCAC